AAGGAGGGCAGCAGGCGCGCAACUUACCCAAUCCCGACACGGGGAGGUAGUGACGAAAAAUAACGUGGCGGGGCCCUUUCGUGGUCGCCGCGGGCGGAAUGAGCGCAAUUUAAAAGAGUGUGCGAGGAGCUAUUGGAGGGCAAGCCUGGUGCCAGCAGCCGCGGUAAUUCCAGCUCCAAUAGCCUAUAUCGGAGUUGCUGCGGUUAAAAAGCUCGUCGUUGGAUCUCGGAGGCGGCACGGUCGGGCGCGAUACGCUGCGGGUCCGACCGGCGAUUUCUCGGCCGUCCCUAACCGGCGCGCGGGGCGAGGUGGACUUCGCGGUCCUGCCUCGUUUUUCUCCUUCGCGGGAGAGAACCCGCCGCAUUUUCUGUCUACCUUGAAAAAAUUAGAGUGCUAAAGGCAGGCUAAAACCCCGAGCCUGAAUAUUUCGUGCAUGGAAUAAGCGGGGAUGCUCUUUUUCCGGAGGGCGGUCCGACCGACUGGCGACGUCGCUUUCGCUGUCGGUUUCGCCGGAGAGCUAGGAUUCGAGAGGAACGGUGGGGGGCGAGCGUACCGGGCGGGGAGAGGUGAAAUUUUGUGAUCCGCUCGGGACGACUCGAAGCGAAAGCGCUGGCCCCGGACGUUUUCCUUAAUCCAGAACGAAGGUGGGUGGAGCAAAGACGAUCAGAUACCGUCGUAGUACCGACGGUAAACGCUGCCGACCGGGCCGCGGACGAGGCUCGAGAACAGCGGUUAUGGACCCGUCCGUGGCGGCUUCGGGCAACCUGAGAGUUUACGGGUUCCGGGGGUAGUAUGGUCGCAAGGCUGAAACUUGAAGGAAUUGACGGAAGGGCACCACAAGGAGUGGAGCCUGCGGCUUAAUUUGACUCAACACGGGGCAACUUACCCGGUCCGGACAUCGUCAGGAUUGACAGACGCUCGUGCAGUUCUUUCUCGAUUCGAUGGGUGGUGGUGCAUGGCCGUUCGUGGCUGGUGAAGUGAAAAGUCUGGUUUAUUCCGCUAACGGGCGAGGCCUCGCCCUUAACUAGUCGGCUCGUGGUUCUCGUAUCUUAGUCUCUCCUCACGGGGAGCAGGGAGAACAUCGGGCGAGUCGAAGCGGUCGUCGCUACUUCUUAGGGGGAUCCCGAGCAAGCUUAAGCUAGGUGAGAGAGAUCAAUAACAGGUCAGUGAUGCCCUUAGAUGUCCGGGGCCGCACGCGCGCUACACUGAAGACGAAAGCGCGAGUGCCUACGGUCUUGGUUUGGUCAGGCCGGGAACCCGCCCCGAGAGGGGAGGUUGGGGCUGUUCCUUCACGGGGGCAGUCUCGCCUGCAGCGGGUUAACCGUGCCAAUCGUCUUCGUGCUGGGGAUCGGGGCUUGCAACUCAGCCCCGUGAACGAGGAAUUCCGAGUAGGCGUCCGUCAUCAGCUGGCGCCGAUUAAGUCCCUGCCUUUUGUACACACCGCCCGUCGCUACCUCCGAUAGAAUGGCUAAGCGAGGCCGUUAGACUGGGCCUGCUUUCGAGUGGGCCCGGAAAGGCGUUCGAGCUUAAUCAUUUAGAGGAAGUAAAAGUCGUAACAAGGUUUCC
rnacentral:rRNA from 1 species